rnacentral:rRNA from 1 species
GAUGAACGCUGGCGGCGUGCCUAAUACAUGCAAGUCGAGCGAACGGACGAGAAGCUUUCUCCCUUGAUGUUAGCGGCGGACGGGUGAGUAACACGUGGAUAACCUACCUAUUAGACUGGGAUAACUUCGGGAAACCGGAGCUACUACCGGAUGAUAUUUUGAACCGCAUGGUUCAAGAGUGAAUGACGGCCUUCCCGUCACUUAGAGAUGGAUCCGCGCUGCAUUAGCUAGUUGGUAAGGUAACGGCUUACCAAGGCAACGAUGCAUAGCCGACCUGAGAGGGUGAUCGGCCACACUGGAACUGAGACACGGUCCAGACUCCUACGGGAGGCAGCAGUGGGGAAUCUUCCGCAAUGGGCGAAAGCCUGACGGAGCAACGCCGCGUGAGUGAUGAAGGUCUUCGGAUCGUAAAACUCUGUUAUUAGGGAAGAACAGAUGUAUAAGUAACUGUGCACAUCUUGACGGUACCUAAUCAGAAAGCCACGGCUAACUACGUG